UCUCCGUAGGUGAACCUGCGGAGGGAUCAUUACAGAGUUCAUGCCCUACCGGGUAGAUCUCCCACCCUAUGUUAUUAUUACUUCGUUGCUUUGGCGGGCCGUUAGGCUCCGGCCCGACUACCGGCCCCGGCUGGUAAGCGCCCGCCAGAGGACCCAAAACCCUGAAUAUUAGUGUCGUCUGAGUACUAUAUAAUAGUUAAAACUUUCAACAACGGAUCUCUUGGUUCUG
rnacentral:misc_RNA from 1 species